UAACCCUUGUGGAGGAGGACGCCGAAGGUGGGGCUAAUGACUGGGGUGAAGUCGUAACAAGGUAGCCGUACCGGAAGGUGCGGCUGGAUCACCUCCUAACAGGGAGACAACAAAAUGUAAAUAUUAAUUUUGUCACCUUAGGUCGAUCGGUAUCUCAGAUUCUUAUUUUUUAAGAAUUUCAGUUUCUAAGUUUUUUCUAGGUCACACCCAUCACUUUUUCCUGGGCCAUUAGCUCAGGUGGUUAGAGCGCACCCCUGAUAAGGGUGAGGUCCCUGGUUCAAGUCCAGGAUGGCCCAUAUCUCUAUGUUGGGGGUAUAGCUCAGUUGGUAGAGCGCCUGCUUUGCAAGCAGGAUGUCAGCGGUUCGAGUCCGCUUACCUCCACUGAAUACCACCUCUUACAUAUAUUUAAAGAGGGAAAUUGUUUUGAGUCG
rnacentral:misc_RNA from 1 species